AACGAGAUCGCAUGAUUUUGUUGGAAAAGGAGCAAUCCGCUUAAGGAUGGGCCCGCGGCCUAUUAGCUAGUUGGUAGGGUAACGGCCUACCAAGGCGACGAUAGGUAGCCGACCUGAGAGGGUGAACGGCCACACUGGAACUGAGAAACGGUCCAGACUCCUACGGGAGGCAGCAGUAGGGAAUAUUCCGCAAUGGGCGAAAGCCUGACGGAGCAACGCCGCGUGAGUGAAGAAGGUUUUCGGAUCGUAAAGCUCUGUCAACAGGGACGAAACAAGACGGUACCUGAGAAGGAAGCCACGGCAAACUACGUGCCAGCAGCCGCGGUAAUACGUAGGUGGCAAGCGUUGUCCGGAAUAACUGGGCGUAAAGCGCAUGUAGACGGCAUGAUAAGCCAAAUGUGAAAUGUAGGGGCUCAACCCCUGCACUGCGAUUGGAACUGUCAAGCUUGAGUGCAGGAGAGGCAAAUGGAAUUCCCAGUGUAGCAGUGAAAUGCGUAGAGAUUGGGAGGAACACCAGUGGCGAAGGCGAUUUGCUGGACUGCAACUGACGUUGAGAUGCGAAAGCUAGGGGAGCAAACGGGAUUAGAUACCCCGGUAGUCCUAGCCGUAAACGAUGGAUACUAGGUGUAGAGGGUAUCGACCCCUUCUGUGCCGCAGCGAACGCAAU
rnacentral:rRNA from 1 species